rnacentral:rRNA from 1 species
CGGACGGGUGAGUAAUGUCUGGGAAACUGCCUGAUGGAGGGGGAUAACUACUGGAAACGGUAGCUAAUACCGCAUAACGUCGCAAGACCAAAGAGGGGGACCUUCGGGCCUCCUGCCAUCGGAUGUGCCCAGAUGGGAUUAGCUAGUAGGUGGGGUAACGGCUCACCUAGGCGACGAUCCCUAGCUGGUCUGAGAGGAUGACCAGCCACACUGGAACUGAGACACGGUCCAG